UACGUAGGGUGCAAGCGUUGUCCGGAAUUAUUGGGCGUAAAGAGCUCGUAGGCGGCUUGUCGCGUCGACUGUGAAAACCCGCGGCUCAACCGCGGGCCUGCAUUCGAUACGGGCAGGCUAGAGUUCGGUAGGGGAGACUGGAAUUCCUGGUGUAGCGGUGAAAUGCGCAGAUAUCAGGAAGAACACCCGUGGCUAAGGCGGCUCUCUAGUACGGUACUGACGCUGAGACGCGAAAGCGUGGGGAGCGAACAGG
rnacentral:rRNA from 1 species